AUUGAACGCUGGCGGCAUGCCUUACACAUGCAAGUCGAACGGCAGCACGGGAGCAAUCCUGGUGGCGAGUGGCGAACGGGUGAGUAAUAUAUCGGAACGUGCCCAGUCGUGGGGAUAACGUAGCGAAAGCUACGCUAAUACCGCAUACGACCUAUGGAUGAAAGCGGGGGAUCGCAAGACCUCGCGCGAUUGGAGCGGCCGAUAUCAGAUUAGGUAGUUGGUGAGGUAAAGGCUCACCAAGCCGACGAUCUGUAGCUGGUCUGAGAGGACGACCAGCCACACUGGGAUUGAGACACGGCCCAGACUCCUACGGGAGGCAGCAGUGGGGAAUUUUGGACAAUGGGCGCAAGCCUGAUCCAGCAAUGCCGCGUGCAGGAUGAAGGCCUCGGUGUAACUAGCUUUGUUAC
rnacentral:rRNA from 1 species